ACUGUUGGGAGCCGUGGCACUGUCAAGUCAUCAGACGCGGUGAUUGCGAGGCCUGUGGGAAAGUACAAAAGCCUGGGCUAGAUUACCCCUCUCAUCGAGCCCGCCUGUGUGGCACCUGUUUCUUAUCACCCCACUAAGUUCCCGCCUCACAGGGUAGUCUGCCUAGCUAUUAAUCCUAUAUAUAGCCAGUGCCUCCACCCCCGAGAGAGAGAGAGACUGAAGCACAAAAGGAGCCGCGGGGAGCGGACCGGUAGAGGCUUCGGGGCAGACUGAAGCACGGAAGGAGCCGCGGAGAGCGGACCGGUAGAGGCUUCGGGGCAGACUGUAUAAGGAGAGAAUAAAGAAAAGCCUGACCACCGCCAGACCUUGUCGUGUGUCUUUCCUGCCGGCCGGGAGCGGACAUCGACAUUUGGAGGCCCGCACGGGGAUUGAUCAACCCCGAGACGCGGCGGUGGACUGCAUUCUCCUACACAGUGCUGCAGCUGCAGGACAGGAAUCGGGACGAGAACCAAUGUGGGUCCCAGAGAGGUUGACGCGACAAGUCCCUCGACUGAAGAUCAGGCCUGUUCCACCAGAGGCCAACCGCAGACCCAACAACAAGAUGAGCCCUAAAAGAACUGCAGGACAAUCCCUUUUUGGGGGCCUGGAACGGCUUGCUCCCCUAUGUGCUACCCUUGUAUACGCAUGGCUCGCUCGCAUGGCCUACGACCGAGUUUAAAAGUGACAGGCUUCCCACAUUCUCCUCCCUAGACAACAACAUGUAGCAGGGUGGGUGAGUCAAUGACGGGUAAGAGCGUGCCUCCCCAGCACGACUCAACCUAAGCCAGGCCCUACCCCGUUCUGCUCGAAAGCCGCUGGAUUGUUAGAUAAAUUUCUCUCCGAGGGGAUUCGUGGAGAGAAAUGAGUGCAUGCCUAUGUGCAACCAGGUUCCGUCCGGUUCAUUCCUGGCCCUCACUCUAUCCAGGACGGGCUGCGAUGCGCGUAGCCAUCAUUUAAAAUAAAAUAGGGGGAGAUGUUGGGAGCCGUGGCACUGUCAAGUCAUCAGACGCGGUGAUUGCGAGGCCUGUGGGAAAGUACAAAAGCCUGGGCUAGAUUACCCCUCUCAUCGAGCCCGCCUGUGUGGCACCUGUUUCUUAUCACCCCACUAAGUUCCCGCCUCACAGGGUAGUCUGCCUAGCUAUUAAUCCUAUAUAUAGCCAGUGCCUCCACCCCCGAGAGAGAGAGAGACUGAAGCACAAAAGGAGCCGCGGGGAGCGGACCGGUAGAGGCUUCGGGGCAGACUGAAGCACGGAAGGAGCCGCGGAGAGCGGACCGGUAGAGGCUUCGGGGCAGACUGUAUAAGGAGAGAAUAAAGAAAAGCCUGACCACCGCCA